GAUGAACGCUAGCGAUAGGCUUAACACAUGCAAGUCGAGGGGCAGCAUGGUCUUAGCUUGCUAAGACUGAUGGCGACCGGCGCACGGGUGCGUAACGCGUAUGCAACUUGCCUCACAAAGGGGGAUAACCCGUCGAAAGACGGACUAAUACCGCGUACACUUGGAGGGAGGCAUCUCCCAUCAAGGAAAAGAAAUUCGCUGUGAGAUAGGCAUGCGUCCCAUUAGCUAGUUGGUGAGGUAACGGCCCACCAAGGCAACGAUGGGUAGGGGAACUGAAAGGUUGAAUCCCCAAGCUGGUACUGAGGCACGGACCAGACUGCUAAGGGAGGCAGCAGUGAGGAAUAUUGGUCAAUGGGGGAGAGCCUGAAACAGCCAAGUCGCGUGAAGGAUGACUGUCUUAUGGAUUGUAAACUUCUUUUGUAGGGGAAUAAAGAACGGUACGUGUACCGUAGUGAAUGUACCCUACGAAUAAGCAUCGGCUAACUCCGUGCCAGCCGCCGCCGUAA
rnacentral:rRNA from 1 species